AUUGAACGCUGGCGGCAGGCCUAACACAUGCAAGUCGAACGAGUGGCGGACGGGUGAGUAAUGUCUGGGAAACUGCCUGAUGGAGGGGGAUAACUACUGGAAACGGUAGCUAAUACCGCAUACCAUCGGAUGUGCCCAGAUGGCGUUGGCCAGUAGGUGGGGUAAAGGCUCACCUAGGCGCCGAUCCAUAGCUGGUCUGAGAGGGUGACCGGCCACACUGGAACUGAGACACGGUCCAGACUCCUACGGGAGGCAGCAGUGGGGAAUAUUGCGCAAUGGGCGAAAGCCUGAUGCAGCCAUGCCGCGUGUAUGAAGAAGGCCUUCGGGUUGUAAAGUACUUUCAGCGGGGAGGCGUUACCCGAAGAAGAAGCACCGGCUAACUCCGUGCCAGCAGCCGCGGUAAUAC
rnacentral:rRNA from 1 species